UCCUCUUCCUUUGCGUUCCGGUGGGCAUCAGGGGCAGGUGACUGUGUUCCGAACUCUCCAGCGGCCGGGCGGAGCCAGCUGCCUCCACGGGACCCCACCCACCCCGCGAUUCUAGUUCUAGAGGCGGAGUCUUCGCCAGAGUUCAGCCAGGGUUCGCUGGCCGAGGCGGGUCCCAGACCCCCGAACUGUUGCAAUACAGACCAGACGAUAGGAGUUGAAGCAACUAGACAACAGCAAGAUGAAAGGUCGCAGAGAUGAGGGUGACAAAAGCAUUCUGCACACCACUUCCUUCAGACAGUUACCGAGGAAAGAGGAGGAACCCACUUCCAUCUUGUUUAAAAGGGUUUUCCGGUCUCAUUGCUGCAAGUAGCCUAAGCUGUAGGCUAACUAAGAGCAAUCAUUUAUAAGAACGACAAAAAUAGCCGGGCGCGGUGGCUCAUGCCUGUAAUCCCAGCACUUUGGGAGGCUGAGGCGGGUGGACCACGAGGUCAAGAGAUCGAGACCAUCCUGGUCAACAAGGUGAAACCCCGUCUCUACUAAAAAUACAAAAAAUUAGCUGGGCAUGGUGGCGCGUGCCUCUAAUCCCAGCUACUCGGGAGGCUGAGGCGGGAGAAUUGCCUGAACCCAGGAGGCGGAGGUUGCGGUGAGCCGAGAUCACGCCAUGGCACUCCAGCCUGGGUAACAAGAGCGAAACUCCGUCUCAAAAAAAAAAAAAAAAUGAGAAAAAUAAAGGUGGAAAGUAGAAACUGUUUUCCUCCUCUAACUUUCCAUUAUGGUAUUUGUUUCCCAGUCAUUUUCUUCCCAUGCACCCAUGGAAAUGCACUUUUUAGAAACAAGGCACCUUUGGCAAGAAAUAGAAAAUCAACUGAAAUUGCUCCUGGUAUAGACCGGUGACUUUGUCCUGCCUAUCUCAACAUUCGAUACGAAUCGAACAAGCCUUACAAGAAAAUGAAGAAACAAAAUCACGCCAUAUUCCAGUUAUCCUUCGCUGCACGACAUUAGUAUCUUAAAGCAACAGGUUAUUAUCUGUCCUGGUUCUGUGGUGAAUGGAGCUCAGCUGGGGGCAGUCCCUACUUUGAUCUCUCAUGUGGUUGCCAUCAGAUAAGACUGAAUGUCCAGGAUGAUUUCUUCACCCACACAUCUGAUGCCUCAGCUGGAAUGGCUGGAAGAAACGGGCUGACUGGGCCUCUCUCCACACCUUCACCCCAUGACCUUAGUACCUGGCUAGGUUGGGCUUCCUUACAGCAUGGCAGCUCAGCAUAUUUGGACUUCUUACGGAGCAGCUGGCUCGCCUUAGAGUGAGCAUUCACAUCAGGCUAAAGCUGCACAGCAUCGAAAGUCACAGAGCAUCACUUUCAUCGCAUUGUAUUGGUGCAAAGUGACUAACAGGGCCAGUCCAGAUUCAGAGGGAAGGAGCUACACUUCCCUUUGGGUACCAGCAGCAGUGGCUCACUGGGGGACCACUUUCAGAGACUUACUACCAUAUCCUAGGAAAUUUAAUUCAUUCCAUUGAUUUCAUCAGUGUAUUCUUUUUUCAAACAUCUGUGUUUAAAUUUUUUUGUGGGUAUAUAGUAGGUGUAUGUAUUCAUGGAGUACAUGAGAUGUUUUGAAUAGGUAUGCAAUGCAUAUUAAUCACAUCGUGGAGAAUGGAGUACUCAAGCAUUUGUCCUUUGAAUUAUAAACAAUCCAAUUACAUUCUUUAAGGUAUUUUAAAAUAUGCAAUUAAGUUAUUGACUAUACACACUUCAUCGUGCUGUUAAAUAGUAGGCCUUAUUCAUUCUUUCUAUUUUUUGCACCCACUAACCACCCCCCUCCUCCCUCCAACUCUCCACUACCCUUCUCAGCCUCUGGUAACCAUCCUUUUACUCUCUAUGACCAUGAGUUCAAUUGUUUUGAUUUUUAGAUCCAAAAGACAGGUCAUAACAGACAUGGGUGAGGAGGUAGAGAAAGUGUGAACCUGAGAUGCUUGUUCUGAGCUUAUUUCAUUCAGCAUAAUGACCUCCAGUUCCAUCAUAUUGUUGCACAGGACUGGAACUCAUUCUUUUUUAUGGCUGAAUAAUACUCCAUUGUGUAUAUAUACCACAUUUUAUUUAUCCAUUCAUUUGUUGAUGGGCACUUAGGUUGUUUCCAAAUCUUAGCUAUUGUUAAACACAGGAGUGUAGCUGUCUCUCCUAUAUUCUGAUUUCCUGUCUUUUGGGUAUAUACCCAGCGGUGGGAUUGUUGGACGAUAUGGUAGCUCAAUUUUUACUUUUUUGAGGAACCUCCAAACUGUUCUCAGCAGUGGCUGUUCUAAUGUACAUUCCCUCCAACUGUGUACAAGGAUUCCCUUUUCUCCACAUCUUCACCCGCAUCUGUUACUACCUGUCUUCCAGAAAUAAGCCAUUUUAACUGGGUGAAAUGAUAUCACAUUGCGUUUUGAUUUCUGCGUAUCUAAUGAUCUAUGAUGUCGAGCACCUUUUCAUAGGUCUGUUUGCCAUUUGUUUGUUUUCUUUUGAGAAAUGCCUAUUCAAAUCUUUUGCUAAUUUUUUGAUCAGAUUAUUAGAUUUUUUUCCUGUAGAGUUGUUGGAGCUCCUUAUGUGUUCUGGUUAUUAAACCCUUGUCAGAUGGGUA